rnacentral:rRNA from 1 species
CGGCGGACGGGUGAGUAACACGUGGAUAACCUACCUAUAAGACUGGGAUAACUUCGGGAAACCGGAGCUAAUACCGGAUAAUAUUUUGAACCGCAUGGUUCAAAAGUAAAAGACGGUCUUGCUGUCACUUAUAGAUGGAUCCGCGCUGCAUUAGCUAGUUGGUAAGGUAACGGCUUACCAAGGCAACGAUGCAUAGCCGACCUGAGAGGGCGAUCGGCCACACUGGAACUGAGACACGGUCCAG